rnacentral:tRNA from 1 species
UCCCUGGUUUCUCAGCGGUAAAGAAUCUGCCUGCAAUACAGGAGACCCAGGAUCGAUCCCUGGGUCGGGAA